UGCCUCGAAGCUAUCAAGUAAAAAGCCAAAAACAAUGGAAGCCUUGUUCGCAAAGCUAGACAAAUACUGUAGAUCAGAUGAAGACCAUAGGAGGAGAGUGGCAAAGAGAAACUGCUAGAGGCAAGCUGAAAAAGACCAAAACUAUCAAGCCUCACAGUACAACCACGCGCAACAACACCACUCAUACCCAGCUCAACAAGUGGUGUCGAUCGAGGGUAAACAAAACCAAAACCACAACAGGCAGCCUUAGCAGCAACCAUCACCAAACUUUGGCAGUGGCUAGAGAGAUGGUUACACCAGAAGGGGAAGAGGUCGAGGCAGAGGGCCUCCGUGGCCAAAUAACCAAGGUAAGCAACAAAGAAUGUUUUAUUGUACCUUUCAUGGCAAGAAACUUGACCAUGCAACUGAUUUUGCUAAGAAACCAAGAAGACCUUUGAAAGAAUAGCCGAAGAAAAGAAAGCAGCUGAGGCACCUAAAACCAUCCACCAUAUUUCCUUUUGGCCAUAACAGCCAUACUUCACAAACCCCAACCUUGCAAGCUUUCAACCCGCCAUGAUGUGGCAGCACUCACCACAAUUCCACCCUCAAGCUCAGCAAGCCUCGCAAAUCGCGAGGUUUGCACCUUCUCAACCUCUUCAUGAGAUACUACUACCUCCACCAAAUCUACCCUAUUAGAUUCCAAAAGUUGAGCCUAACAACCUGCAAAACAACAAUCCCAAAGCCUUACCUACCUACGGCAUGAUAAUGCCAAUCUCAG
rnacentral:lncRNA from 1 species